rnacentral:rRNA from 1 species
CCUACGGGAGGCUGCAGUGGGGAAUAUUGCGCAAUGGGGGAAACCCUGACGCAGCAACGCCGCGUGAGCGAUGAAGGCCUUCGGGUCGUAAAGCUCUGUCUUCAGGGACGAUAAUGACGGUACCUGAGGAGGAAGCCACGGCUAACUACGUGCCAGCAGCCGCGGUAAUACGUAGGUGGCGAGCGUUGUCCGGAAUUACUGGGCGUAAAGGGUGCGUAGGCGGAAUUUUAAGUCAGAUGUGAAAUCCCCGGGCUUAACCUGGGAAUUGCAUUUGAAACUGGGAUUCUAGAGUGCAGGAGAGGAAAGCGGAAUUCCUAGUGUAGCGGUGAAAUGCGUAGAUAUUAGGAAGAACACCAGUGGCGAAGGCGGCUUUCUGGACUGUAACUGACGCUGAGGCACGAAAGCGUGGGGAGCAAACAGGAUUAGAUACCCUUGUAGUCUU